GACGAACGCUGGCGGCGUGCCUAAUACAUGCAAGUAGAACGCGGUUGCGAACGUGUGAGUAACGCGUAUGUAACUACCUAUUAGAGGGGGAUAACUAUUGUAAACGAUAGCUCAUACCGCAUCCUAGUGGAUGGAGCUGGGUUGUAUUGGCUAGUAGGUGGGGGAAUGGCCUACCUCGGCAACGAUACAUAGCCGGCCGGAGAGGAUGAUCGGCCACACUGGGACUGAGACACGGCCCAGACUCCUACGGGAGGAAGCAGUGGGGAAUCUUCGGCAAUGGGGGAACGCUGAACGAGCAACGCCGGGUGAGUGGAGAAGGGUUUCGGGUUGUAAAGCUCUGUUGUGAAGGAAGCGGUACUUAACGAGAAAGGGACGGCUAACUACGUGCCAGCAGCCGCGGUAAUUC
rnacentral:rRNA from 1 species